rnacentral:rRNA from 1 species
AGUGAACGCUGGCGGUAGGCCUAACACAUGCCAGUCGAACGGCAGCACAGUAAGAGCUUGCUCUUACGGGUGGCGAGUGGCGGACGGGUGAGGAAUACAUCGGAAUCUACUUUUUCGUGGGGGAUAACGUAGGGAAACUUACGCUAAUACCGCAUACGACCUACGGGUGAAAGCAGGGGAUCUUCGGACCUUGCGCGAUUGAAUGAGCCGAUGUCGGAUUAGCUAGUUGGCGGGGUAAAGGCCCACCAAGGCGACGAUCCGUAGCUGGUCUGAGAGGAUAAUCAGCCACACUGGAACUGAGACACGGUCCAGACUCCUACGGGAGGCAGCAGUGGGGAAUAUUGGACAAUGGGCGCAAGCCUGAUCCAGCCAUACCGCGUGGGUGAAGAAGGCCUUCGGGUUGUAAAGCCCUUUUGUUGGGAAAGAAAAGCAGCAGGUUAAUACCCCGCUGUUCUGACGGUACCCAAAGAAUAAGCACCGGCUAACUUCGU